rnacentral:rRNA from 1 species
AUUGAACGCUGGCGGCAGGCUUAACACAUGCAAGUCGAGCGGAGAUGAGGUGCUUGCACCUCAUCUUAGCGGCGGACGGGUGAGUAAUGCUUAGGAAUCUGCCUAUUAGUGGGGGACAACAUUCCGAAAGGAAUGCUAAUACCGCAUACGACAUACGGGGGAAAGCAGGGGAUCUUCGGACCGUGCGCUAAUAGAUGAGCUGAAGUCGGAUUAGCUAGUUGGUGGGGUAAAGGCCUACCAAGGCGACGAUCUGUAGCGGGUCUGAGAGGAUGAUCCGCCACACUGGGACUGAGACACGGCCCAGACUCCUACGGGAGGCAGCAGUGGGGAAUAUUGGACAAUGGGCGGAAGCCUGAUCCAGCCAUGCCGCGUGUGUGAAGAAGGCCUUUUGGUUGUAAAGCACUUUAAGCGAGGAGGAGGCUACCUGGAUUAAUACUCUAGGAUAGUGGACGUUACUCGCAGAAUAAGCACCGGCUAACUCUGUGCCAGCCGCCGCAGUAAAAC